CAGAUAUAUGUAUGCCAAAGCACCGAUGAGUCAUAAUGCACCCAAAACACACUCUCACACACUCGGAAACCUAAAAGUUCACCACACUGAGACAUAUUAACACACACCUUCCAGUGUGCCAGCACACAAGACUGCAGUCUGUGUGGGAGGGAUAGAAUGGGGGUGGGGAUGUGCUGUGUGUGGAAAUGGGAGUGUGUGUGUGUGUGUGUGCGUGCGUGCGUGUAUGAUUGGGUCUGUGUGUGUGUGUGUUCAUGUGUAGGGGCUGGCAGCCUUUCACACAUGCUCAGGUGGGACCACACAGCAGGGGGGCAGGAAGUGAGGACACAGGAAGUGACCCGGUGGCAGACCCCCCCCCCCCAAAAAAAAAACACAUC